GGAAAUCUCACCAGGCCCGGACACUGGAAGGAUUGACAGAUUGAUAGCUCUUUCUUGAUUCGGUGGGUGGUGGUGCAUGGCCGUUCUUAGUUGGUUGAGUGAUUUGUCUUGUUAAUUCUGAUAACGAACGAGACCCCAACCUGCUAACUAGCCCUCGGGUCCUGCUUCUGUUGGGCCCGACGGAAUGAUUCGCUUCUUAGAGGGACUCGCGGCGCCUAGCCGCACGAAGGGGGGCGAUAA
rnacentral:rRNA from 1 species